rnacentral:rRNA from 1 species
UCGGAUUGUAGUCUGNAACCCGACUACAUGAAGCUGGAAUCGCUAGUAAUCGCGGAUCAGAAUGCCGCGGUGAAUACGUUCCCGGGUCUUGUACACACCGCCCGUCACACCAUGGGAGUCGGAAAUGCCCGAAGUCUGUGACCUAACCGAAAGGGAGGAGCAGCCGAAGGCAGGUCUGAUGACUGGGGUGAAGUCGUAACAAGGUAAC